rnacentral:tRNA from 1 species
GUUUGUAGCUUAGUGGGAGAGUAUGUGCCUAGCAUGCCCAAAGUCCUGUGUACAAUCCCCAGUAUUGCAAAUA